UUCCCCCGUAAGGCAGGAAACGUGGUGGGAAACAGAUCGGUUGAAGCACGCAAGACAAGGGCAGCUCUGCAAGGCUAUUGAGAUCAGCUUUGGCCCUUAUCAAGUCUCUUCCUUCCACGUGUAGUCCCAGAGAGGGGACGCCCACCUCUCGAUGGUGCGGAAGGAGGGAGACUUGCCCAGUAGGCCAGGGCGCUGUCUCCACUUAGCAGACCAAGUUCACACAGGAAGCCGCCGUGAGUUUGCCGGGCAGGUGCUGGUGGGGUACAUCUGGCUUGCCUGAUAGCCUGCCCACCCUGGCUAUCACUCCACCCCGCCUCCACCGCCCGCAGGUGGCCAACCAGCAGAAGGAACUGAAUGAGAUCCUUGAACUUCAUUCUGUCUCCGUUUCUCAUCUGGAAAGGGAGGUUAAUGAUGCCUAGUUUGUUGUAAAGCUUGAGCAGAUAACUGAUGUGAAAGUGUGAUAAUUCGGUUCUUCUGUUACAUCUGUUUCUUUAUCUUUUCCGCCCAUAUUUCCCCUUCCUCCUUUUCAUCUCAUUUCCCUCAGGCCCAAAACAGAAACCCUCAAGGCAAAAAAUGUUUCAGGAACCCAAGCAGAGCUGUCCCAAAUUCUGCCAUAAUCCCUCAAGCAUUACAAUUCACUCACCUGGGCGUGCCUCAAUGUCCCUAUCUGUAAAAUGGGUAUAAAUAUUAUUUUUAUUAUUGAGUUGUUAGAUUAAAUAAAUAAAAUGUUUAACCCAACGCCUGGCACACAAUAAGCACUCAGUAAGUAUUAGAAUGUUGACUAUUAUCAUUAGCUGUUUUCCUUCUUCUUCUACCAUCAGCAAAACGGUGUGGAAGCCCAGCACAGGCCAGCCUCCGUAUGGGGUAGGACACAGAGAUAUAAAGAGUUUGGGCAGGAGCCUCGCAGCUCCAUGAACUUGACUGACCCGUGAAGUUUGGUCUGGGUUUGAGGAUGGGCAAGAGUGACCACUUGGAUCCCGUUCAAAGUUCUUGCAUUCUGGUUUACUCCUAAAGCGGCUGAAAGCAGCGCCCAGGAUGGACAGGAGAUGAAGGCCCACGCAGGUGGGUGACCGCCACCCCCCGAAGCCUCGGUCAUCAGCUCACAGAGAAACGGCCCCACUGCAGAGUUUGGAGGCGUUGGCAGGCAAUGGGGAGCAAGGUGUCUGCCAGACCAGAGCAGUGCAGGCCUGCGGGUUCACUAUCUUGAUACCCCAGCCACAUCGCACCCAGGAACAGCAA
rnacentral:lncRNA from 1 species